GAUGAACGCUGGCGGCGUGCUUAACACAUGCAAGUCGAACGGAAAGACGCUGCGCUUGUUGCGUGCACGUUUGGCGAGGGGGGGUGUGACACGCGAGUAUCCUCCACCUGUCUUUCUGAGAUCUUUUCGGGACUGGGGCGCAUAUCGCGUAGGAGCUCCUGCUCCGUAUGGGGCGAUGGAAAGUUUCGGCGGUUGGGGCUGGACUCGCGGCUUAUCAGCUUGUUGGUGUGGUAGUGGCUUACCAAGGCUUUGACGGCUAGCCGGCCUGAGAGGGUGACCGGCCACAUUGGGACUGCGAUACGGACCAGACGCCUACGGGAGGCAGCAGUGGGGAAUAUUGCACAAUGGGCGGAAGCCUGAUGCAGCAACGCCGCGUGCGGGAUGACGGCCUUCGGGUUGUAAACCGAUUUCGCCUGUGACGAAGCGUGAGUGACGGUAAUGGGUAAAGAAGCACCGGCUAACUACGUG
rnacentral:rRNA from 1 species